rnacentral:rRNA from 1 species
GGGUGAGGAGAGUAUCCUAAGGCCAGCGAGAGAACUGUUGUUAAGGAACUCGGCAAAAUGACCCCGUAACUUAGGGAUAAGGGGUGCCACCAUCAGGUGGCCGCAGAGAAUAGGCCCAAGCGACUGUUUACCAAAAACAUAGGUUUCUGCUAAGUCGCAAGACGAUGUAUAGGAGCUGACGCCUGCCCGGUGCUGGAAGGUUAAGGGGAGCUGUUAGAGCAAUCGAAGCAGUGAACUUAAGCCCCAGUAAACGGCGGCCGUAACUAUAACGGUCCUAAGGUAGCGAAAUUCCUUGUCGGGUAAGUUCCGACCCGCACGACAGGCGUAACGAUUUGGGCACUGUCUCA